rnacentral:lncRNA from 1 species
CUGAAAACAUGCACGCAAUGGUUGAACAACAAGACCUCCACACUUGGCAUAACAUACUGAUCUUUUCAUCCGGCACAGAAUUGUCCCAAAUAUGAGCCAAUACUACUAGCGUAAAUCCCAACUCUACCACCUGCAAAAAAUUACAUGGAUUUAACAAUAGAGGUAACUGAGAAACCAUCUUGUUUUUUUUGAGAAAAAGUUAACUGCCAGAGAAACCAUCUUGUUUAACAACACUAACAACAAAUAUCUAUA